rnacentral:rRNA from 1 species
GACCCUACGGGAGGCAGCAGUGGGGGAUAUUGCACAAUGGAGGAAACUCUGAUGCAGCGACGCCGCGUGAAGGAAGAAGGCCUUCGGGUCGUAAACUUCUGUCCUUGGGGAAGAAGAACUGACGGUACCCAAGGAGGAAGCCCCGGCUAACUACGUGCCAGCAGCCGCGGUAAUACGUAGGGGGCAAGCGUUAUCCGGAAUUAUUGGGCGUAAAGAGUACGUAGGUGGCAACCUAAGCGCAGGGUUUAAGGCAAUGGCUCAACCAUUGUUC